AUGCACGCUGGCGGCGUGCCUAAUACAUGCCAGUCGAGCGAACGGACGAGAAGCUUGCUUCUCUGAUGUUAGCGGCGGACGGGUGAGUAACACGUGGAUAACCUACCUAUAAGACCGGGAUAACUUCGGGAAACCGGAGCUAAUACCGGAUAAUAUUUUGAACCGCAUGGUUCAAAAGUGAAAGACGGUCUUGCUGUCACUUAUAGAUGGAUCCGCGCUGCAUUAGCUAGUUGGUAAGGUAACGGCUUACCAAGGCAACGAUGCAUAGCCGACCUGAGAGGGUGAUCGGCCACACUGGAACUGAGACACGGUCCAGACUCCUACGGGAGGCAGCAGUAGGGAAUCUUCCGCAAUGGGCGAAAGCCUGACGGAGCAACGCCGCGUGAGUGAUGAAGGUCUUCGGAUCGUAAAACUCUGUUAUUAGGGAAGAACAUAUGUGUAAGUAACUGUGCACAUCUUGACGGUACCUAAUCAGAAAGCCACGGCUAACUACGUG
rnacentral:rRNA from 1 species